UUACGGCUAUAUCACGUUGAAACGGCGGUUCCUGUACGAUCACCGAAGUUAAACAACGCCGAGUCUGGUCAGUAACUAUAUGGGUGACAGUGUGGGAAUACCUGGUGCUGUAAGC